rnacentral:sRNA from 1 species
GCCUGGUGAGGUGGUGUACAUCUGUAAUCCCAGCAACUCAGGAGGCUGAGGCAGGAGGAUUGCAAGUUCAAAGCCAGCCACAGCAACUUGGUAAGGCUCUAAGCAACUUAGUGAGACCCUGUCUCAA